UACUGGAAUGUCCUCUCCGUCAGGUUCAU
rnacentral:piRNA from 1 species